rnacentral:tRNA from 1 species
GCUGUGGUUCAGUGGCAAAACAUUUGCUUGGUAUGUAGAAGGUCUCCUGUUCAAUUCCCAGCAUGUGCA